rnacentral:rRNA from 1 species
UACGUAGGGGGCAAGCGUUGUCCGGAUUUAUUGGGCGUAAAGAGCUCGUAGGUGGUUCGGUAAGUCGGAUGUGAAAUCUCCAGGCUCAACCUGGAGGGGUCAUUCGAUACUGCCGUGACUAGAGUUCGGUAGGGGAGUGUGGAAUUCCUGGUGGAGCGGUGAAAUGCGCAGAUAUCUGGAGGAACACCGGUGGCGAAGGCGGCAUCCUGGACCGACACUGACACUGAGGAGCGAAAGCCAGGGGAGCAAACGGG